ACACGACUACAUUAGAUACCCGCGUAGUCCCAGCCCUAAACGACGCGCGUUAGGUGUAUCGGUGACCACGAGUCACCGAGGUGCCGAAGGGAAACCGUGAAACGUGCCGCCUGGGAAGUACGGUCGCAAGGCUGAAACUUAAAGGAAUUGGCGGGGAGCACCACAAGAGGUGGAGGCUGCGGUUCAAUUGGACUCAACGCCGGAAAACUCAUCGGGAGCGACAGCAGUAUGAUUGCCAGGUUGAUGACCUUGCUUGACAAGCUG
rnacentral:rRNA from 1 species